rnacentral:lncRNA from 1 species
AGAAAAUAAUGAUCGAUUUUGAAAGAACAGUAGCAUGCUGCCAUUUCGUUUAUAUUUUUUAAAAUAAUAAAUUUUACUGAAAAUAUAAAGCAAUUCGAUUUUGAACUUGAGACUUCAAGUACCAACCAUCAAGUCUAAGGGCAAUCUGUAGUUUUAGAAGAAGCUUUCCUUUCUUGUACUUUCAAGAUUUUGAUGCUUCCACAAGUAGAUUUGAGAACUUGUUGCUCGGACCUCGUCGCAAUGGAAACGCUGCACAAAUCUAAUUGUGUGAUUUUAAGAUUCGUGUCAAUCAUAUGAUGAAAAACAGAUAGGGCCGUUUUCAUUUCUAAAAAAUUUUGUUCUAAGAUAGCCUAACCAAA